AGUGAACGCUGGCGGUAGGCCUAACACAUGCAAGUCGAACGGCAGCACAGUAAGAGCUUGCUCUUACGGGUGGCGAGUGGCGGACGGGUGAGGAAUACAUCGGAAUCUACUUUUUCGUGGGGGAUAACGUAGGGAAACUUACGCUAAUACCGCAUACGACCUACGGGUGAAAGCAGGGGAUCUUCGGACCUUGCGCGAUUGAAUGAGCCGAUGUCGGAUUAGCUAGUUGGCGGGGUAAAGGCCCACCAAGGCGACGAUCCGUAGCUGGUCUGAGAGGAUGAUCGGCCACACUGGAACUGGGACACGGUCCAGACUCCUACGGGAGGCAGCAGUGGGGAAUAUUGGACAAUGGGCGCAAGCCUGAUCCAGCCAUACCGCGUGGGUGAAGAAGGCCUUCGGGUUGUAAAGACCUUUUGUUAGGAGAGAAAAGCAGCAGGUUAAUACCCCGCUGUUCUGACGGUACCCAAAGAAUAAGCACCGGCUAACUUCGUG
rnacentral:rRNA from 1 species